CCUGGCUGUCUGGGAACUCAAGAGGGAUCCGCCUGCCUCUGCCUCUCAAGUGCUGGGAUUAAAGGUAUGAGCCACUUUGCCUGGCCACAUUUCUUUUUAAAACUGAAACAGAAAACAGCCUGAGUCCUAUGAAUAUUUCCUUCCGCUCAGUCAUUUCCAUGAGCUGGCCUUUUCAGAAAUUGUGAGUUAAGACCAACCACUCAGAUUUUUCAUUGUUCUGUACAGCAGAUGUGUGCCCCGGUUCCCUGUCUUUCGAUCCUCAUAGUGGAGUCUCCCUGCAGGAAGGCCUGUGCACACCCCGCACAGGCUUCUUUCUGGGACCAGUGCCUCUGACGUUUGAGGUGUUGCAGGUGGCUUGCUUCAUUUUGCUCUUGCAGACCUCACCUUGCUCACUGGGCUGUUGUUUGUGGAGUCUCUCAAGUGGGUCUUGAUGAACACGCAUCCCUCCCUACUGGUUUUCCACCCAGUAGAGCUGCUGUGGAUCCAUGGUGCAAAGCCCCUAAAACCUUCGGGGCCACACUGCAUGGCCGACCACGCAGUGAUGAAGAUGGAUUUAGCAUCUGGGUGAGGAGGACAUGGAGCAGCAGGAGGGGACAAGCAGGUCUAGAUGCCACUCCGAGGAGGACUGUGAAACAGCCAAACACUUCCGGAGGAACAGAGGCUCCAGAGCGCAGAGGAGCUGUCAGGGCAGAGCAGGUAGCACAUGCAGGGCCAGGCUGAGCUUGGACUGUGGCUCUCCCUUUCCAUGUGGAAAGCGCAGACCGAGGGGUUUCGUGGGAUAGGAAGAGGCUGUUCAUAAGCUAAUGGAAUAGGAAUCACACCAAGUGCAGAGAGACCCUGCUAACUACAAAUGUUAACUCCUAGUCACUUGUGACUAAAUUAGGGAUCAGAGCCAUCUAGCAGUGCCGGCCUGUGAGCUUACUCAGCAAGAGGACAUGAUCACACACUCUUAGGAUCAAUGAGUUAGAUGAAGGUUAUUUAUUGGUGUGACUUUUUUCUGUAGUGAGCUUCCUUUACACAGCAUAGUGUAAAUAGCAUCAGACUGAAUGGGAAGUCUGUCAAUGCAAUCAUAAAUAAUUAUAAUAAAUAUACAUCAAGUAAC